rnacentral:rRNA from 1 species
UACGUAGGGCGCAAGCGUUGUCCGGAAUUAUUGGGCGUAAAGAGCUCGUAGGCGGUUUGUCGCGUCUGCUGUGAAAACCUAAGGCUCAACCUUGGGCUUGCAGUGGGUACGGGCAGACUAGAGUGCGGUAGGGGUGACUGGAAUUCCUGGUGUAGCGGUGGAAUGCGAAGAUAUCAGGAGGAACACCGAUGGCGAAGGCAGGUCACUGGGCCGCAACUGACGCUGAGGAGCGAAAGCAUGGGGAGCAAACAGG